rnacentral:rRNA from 1 species
AACGAACGCUGGCGGCAGGCUUAACACAUGCAAGUCGAACGGGUGUAGCAAUACAUCAGUGGCAGACGGGUGAGUAACACGUGGGAACCUUCCUAGGGGUACGGAACAACUCAGGGAAACUUGAGCUAAUACCGUAUACGUCCGUAAGGAGAAAGAUUCAUCGCCCCUAGACGGGCCCGCGUCGGAUUAGGUAGUUGGUGGGGUAACGGCCUACCAAGCCUACGAUCCGUAGCUGAUCUGAGAGGANGAUCAGCCACACUGGGACUGAGACACGGCCCAGACUCCUACGGGAGGCAGCAGUGGGGAAUCUUGGACAAUGGGCGCAAGCCUGAUCCAGCCAUGCCGCGUGAGUGAAGAAGGCCUUAGGGUUGUAAAGCUCUUUUACCAGGGACGAUAAUGACGGUACCUGGAGAAUAAGCCCCGGCAAACUUCGUGCCAGCAGCCGCAGUAAC